UUGAUCCAACAUGUGUAAGACACAUUUCUUUUCAAUGUAAGACAAGAAGACAAACGUGCAUGCUGGAUGUGUGGAGAAUUUUACCGCUGAUUUUGAAAUAAAACGUACCAUCAAAAGAAGAAGAAGAGUGAUGUUUUUUUCCAAUUUCUGAUACUGUUUUUGACUUUUUUUUUUUACCCUUACUAUGCGCUAUUGAAGCAGUCUUUCCAAUGUUGAACCUUUUUACGGGCUAUCUUCUAUCUGGUUCUCGUUCUUCUUUUUCUUAUGAAGUCAAAAAUUCGCGUUGUUACUGUUUCCUGUAAAGUGUGGUCCAAAUGUACUUCAACGCGUGUGGUCCAAUUGUAUGCAACCUUUUUUUAUGAAGUUAUUAUCAGUACCGUUCUCAGUUCAUGGAUGCUUCUUUUUAAACAAGCUUUUUUAACAAGAUAAUUAAUAAAUGGCUCCCUAAAGGACAACACAAUUCAUUCAAGACAGUUAUAGGAACGGCCACAGUUCCUUCAGUGGUGGUGAAACAUAUCCAAGAAAACGUUAGGGAAAAUGUUUAAUUGAUGUUAAUUAUGGGACAUCCUUGAUGUUGGGUAAGCUGAAGACACUUUCAAGAGUUAUAGGAAGAACCACAGUUAAGUAAAACAUAUUCCAGAAAUCACUAGAGAUAAUGUUUAAUUGCUGUUAAUUAUGGGACAGUGUUGGGUCAGCUGGAAACAUUUUGCACAGCUGAACGAAAAUCACUAAGCUAGUUGAUUAAGUAAAAACGAACUAUUUUUGUAUGGAUGUCUACUGUCAAAAAUGCAGUCGUUAAGACAACUAUGUGUCAUUUCAGAUGACAUCGUUAUUUAUUUACUGAAUUUGAGUUUUAUGAGUUUUGAGUUAUUACUUCGUGGAAGAUAGAUGAUCAAGAUAUUUUGAGAUCGUUUUGAGAUGAAAUUUUCAUUAUACAUUCAAUAAGGACAGGUUUUCCUGAAAUUUCACUCACAUAUACGCCUUGAGCAGCUACACAACUAAAUAUUCUAAUUGUGUUUAUAUUUAUAUUUAUUUCAUAUUUAUUAUCAUUUUUUAUUUAAAAAAACAGCGUCCAUGAAUUGAGAGGUAUAUUGUAGCAACCUGUAGACUGCUAUAGAGUAGACUCAUCUUUUACAAAACAGCGUGGUGCUUGGACUACAUUGUGAAGCCGUAACGCCGCGAGCGCGUUUGAUCGUUGACCAACAUCAAAUGUUUUUAUUUUUCAUGCUCCUUCAGUCGAACUAAUCUUUUUCUGCUCUUCUAAUAAUUUUUAAAAAUGCCUGUUUAAAAUGACUGUUAAAUUUUAUUAGAGUUUUAUUGCCACUCUAAAAAAUGCCUUUGGUUCGUUUUGACAAAUUGAAAGAAAAUGCAAAAGCGAGCAAUGCCUGCACAUGCUCGUUACAUUUUUUGAAUUUUUGCCCACAACGCUGAAAACAUUGUCAAUGAGGUAAUUGAUUUUUUUUAAUUGUUGUAUAAAACGCCAUCUUAA